UACGGAGGGUGCAAGCGUUAAUCGGAUUUAUUGGGCGUAAAGGGCGCGUAGGCUGGCGAAUAAGUCAGAUGUGAAAUCCUGAGGCUUAACCUCAGAGCUGCAUUUGAAACUAUUUGUCUAGAGGGUAGGCGGAGAAAACGGAAUUCCACAAGUAGCGGUGAAAAUGCGUAGAUAUGUGGAAGAACACCGGUGGCGAAGGCGGUUUUCUAGCUUACUCCUGACGCUGAGGCGCGAAAGUUAGGGGAUCAAACAGG
rnacentral:rRNA from 1 species